AGCGAACGCUGGCGGCAGGCCUAACACAUGCAGGUCGAACGAAGCCUUCGGGCUUAGUGGCGGACGGGUGAGUAACACGUGGGAACGUACCUUUUGGUUCGGAACAACUCAGGGAAACUUGAGCUAAUACCGGAUGAGCCCUUAGGGGGAAAGAUUUAUCGCCGAAAGAGCGGCCCGCGUUAGAUUAGCUAGUUGGUGAGGUAAAGGCUCACCAAGGCUACGAUCUAUAGCUGGUCUGAGAGGAUGAUCAGCCACACUGGGACUGAGACACGGCCCAGACUCCUACGGGAGGCAGCAGUGGGGAAUCUUGCGCAAUGGGCGAAAGCCUGACGCAGCCACGCCGCGUGAAUGAUGAAGGUCUUAGGAUUGUAAAAUUCUUUUACCAGGGACGAUAAUGACGGUACCUGGAGAAAAAGCCCCGGCUAACUUCGUGCCAGCCGCCGCAGUAACAC
rnacentral:rRNA from 1 species